rnacentral:lncRNA from 1 species
AGUUUAAUAGUAGCAACAAAACAAACUCAAUCUAAAAUUAAGCAAUCACAACUAAUCACCUAAUAAGCAACCAAGAGGGAAAAAAAAACUUGCUGACCUGUAAUAGCACUCACAACCUGUAAUUAAAAUUCAAGCAGAGAAGAAAAGAAAAUACAAAAAUAAAUAAAUUCUAACCUGUAAUCGUUAAUCCUGAAGAACACAACUACAAAAACCUGUGGUUUUCAAAGAACAACUACCAAAAGAAAACUACAAAGAAAUUGCAACCACGCAAUUCAAUUCCAUUCAACAAACUCAGAAAUAAAUCUCACUCGAAUCCAGUAAAAUUCCGUAUCCGGAAAAAUAAAAUCGACAAUCGAAAACUAACUCGACGAAAUCCAACUUGCAAAAUAGAGAGUAAAAAAAAAAUCGGAACAGAAGAUGAGAAAUCGGGAAAAAAAAAAUCGUCAGAAGAUGAGAUCGAUAAUGCAAAAUUGAUACCAAGAUCAACUGUAAUCAAACAGAACCGCUGUAAAUCGACACCGCAAAAAUCAACACCGCUGUAAAUCGUAUGAACUAAAUCAACACCGUUGUAAAUCAACACUGCUGUAAAUCGUAUGAACUAAAUCAGAAAUCGCAAGCAGACGAUCGCGCAUGAAAUCAAAACCGACGAUCGCAAGCAGAUGAUCGCAAGCAGGUGAUCAAAGCAGACGAUCGCAAGCAAACGAUCAGAAAUCGCAGUCACGCACAAUCAGAAAAUUGACGAUCACGCACGAAAAAGAAUCGCAAUCAAAUCGUAAUCAAAAUAAAAUAAAAAAUUCGAAAACAAAACAAAACUCGAUCAGAUCGGAAAUCAAAACUCGAUCAGAAUCCGAUCAGAAAGAAUAUCACAAUCAAGAUUUAAGAUUAACAAAAUCAAGAUCUAAAAUUAACUAAAUCAAGAUCUGAAAUUAAAAUCUAAAAUCAAACCUGAGAAGAAUCGACGCGGAAGACAAGCGCAGAUCCGACACGAACGCGGGAAAAUCGCAGAGGCGCUCGCGGGAGGGAUCGCAGUGACUCAGAUGAAUCUGCAACUUCCAGCAGAUCUGCAAAUCCAGCGAAGAGAAACAAUCGCCAAUCGGGAAUCCAAAAAAUCACACGGAAUCGCGGAAGAAGACGAUCUCGCGGAGGAAGACGAUCAAUGAAGCUAGAAAAACUGAUAUCAUCUCAGAAAUGCUUGACAUUGAUUUGAAUUGGAAAAAUUGAUGAUUUAAUCUCUAAUAGUACGGAGUCUCGGAUCAACAGAUCGUAGUUCGAUCCUUGAUACCAAAAACGAGGCAGCGUAGCUUUAAAGAAAUUACAGUCCUAAUUAUUUAUUCUUAUUUGACUCAC